GACGAACGCUGGCGGCGUGCUUAACACAUGCAAGUCGAACGAUGAAGCCAGAGCUUGCUCUGGUGAAUUAGUGGCGAACGGGUGAGUAACACGUGAGUAACCUGCCCCGAACUCUGGGAUAACUGCUGGAAACGGUAGCUAAUACUGGAUACGACCUACGAAGGCAUCUUCUGUAGGUGGAAAGAAUUUCGGUUCGGGAUGGACUCGCGGCCUAUCAGCUUGUUGGUGAGGUAAUGGCUCACCAAGGCGACGACGGGUAGCCGGCCUGAGAGGGUGACCGGCCACACUGGGACUGAGACACGGCCCAGACUCCUACGGGAGGCAGCAGUGGGGAAUAUUGCGCAAUGGGCGAAAGCCUGACGCAGCAACGCCGCGUGCGGGAUGACGGCCUUCGGGUUGUAAACCGCUUUCAGCAGGGAAGAAGCCGCAAGGUGACGGUACCUGCAGAAGAAGCACCGGCUAACUACGUGCCAGCCGCCGCAGUAA
rnacentral:rRNA from 1 species